CACGAAACCGCUCGAGCUAAUCAACAGCAAGUCUAGCUCAUUUCUGUUGCAUAAGAUGUAUGACAGUAGAUUAGGGGUGAUAGGCCUAGCAAGUUCGGUGAUAUCUUGAUUUCUCUGAAAAGUUAGUAAUAAUACAGAUCAGGAAUGACAAGGUUUCUGAUACCCAUAAACCCUACCGUACUUUGAUAGUAGACUUAACCGUUCGCUAGUUCUAGUAUAAAUAUUUUUGUUAACUUUUUAUGUUUUGUAAGGGGAAAGCGUUAAUGAUUAAGUGUAUUUAUAAUGUUGACAUGAGUAAUCGUGAAGUUAUUAUUAGUGAACUCGGCAACAGGGCUUUCAACUGUUUAUCAAAAACAUAGCUACGUGAUAUUAUUCGUAGUAAUUUCUGCUCCAUGAGAUUUAAAUAGCCGCAGUACCCUGACUGUGCAAAGGUAGCGUAAUCAGUUGUCUUCUAAUUAAAGUCUUGCAUCAACGAACAUAUGGGGGCCCACUUUACCAGUAAUAAAUAAAGAAUUUACUAAGGGGGUGCAAAUACCCUUAUAACACAAUAGACGAGAAGACCCUAGAAAUUUUCACAAUCGUUUUUGUUGGGGCAACAUAGUAACAUUGAACUUACUCUAUAGACACGAAAUUCGUUAGCCAGAAGAAAUUACUCUAGGGAUAACAGCAUAAUGUAUAAUCGUUUGUGACCUCGAUGUUGGAUUAGGAAGUCAUAGCUUAAAA
rnacentral:rRNA from 1 species